rnacentral:rRNA from 1 species
UUGGAGGGCAAGUCUGGUGCCAGCAGCCGCGGUAAUUCCAGCUCCAAUAGCGUAUAUUAAAGUUGUUGCAGUUAAAAAGCUCGUAGUUGAAUUUCGGGAUCGAAUUGUUGGUCGUGCCUCGGUACGCACUGGCAUUAUCGGUUCCUACCUUCUGAAGAACCGCGAUGUCAUUAAUUUGGUGUCGUGGGGAAUCAGGACUGUUACUUUGAAAAAAUUAGAGUGUUUAAAGCAGGCUUACGCUUGAAUACAUUAGCAUGGAAUAAUGAAAUAGGACGUUUGAUUCUAUUUUGUUGGUUUCUAGGAUCGACGUAAUGAUUAAUAGGGAUAGUUGGGGGCAUUAGUAUUCAAUUGUCAGAGGUGAAAUUCUUGGAUUUAUUGAAGACUAACUUCUGCGAAAGCAUUUGCCAAGGAUGUUUUCAUUAAUCAAGAACGAAAGUUAGGGGAUCGAAGACGAUCAGAUACCGUCGUAGUCUUAACCAUAAACUAUGCCGACUAGGGAUCGGACGAUGUUGAUUUUUUAAUGACUCGUUCGGCGCCUUACGGGAAAC